rnacentral:rRNA from 1 species
AUCUGGGCGGCGGAAUUCAGGAUGACGAGCGUGCUCUACACGCUGGUCGUUUGAUAUUUCCGUCGCCAAUCGCAGACGUCGCGACCUGUUCGCGGCCGGUCCUUGCUCGGAGGAGCUGCGUUCGAGUUCGUUGCGUGCGCGUUUCGGCGUGUCACGCGGCGAAGGCGCGGAUCUCUGGCUGGCCGUCGGACAGUACGCUUAACGGUGUCCGGUGUCGUCGUCUCGUACGCGCGCGCACCGGUACCGGUCAGCGACGAAUUCUUCGGGCCUCUUUCCGACCCGUCUUGAAACACGGACCAAGGAGUCUAACAUGCGCGCGAGUCGCGGGGUGUCGAGUGUACUUCGGUGCGCUCGUUACGUUGCGAAACCCGUACAUGUCGAAGGCGUAAUGAAAGUGAAUGGGGAAGAUGGUGUUCCGAGUUCACGUUCCGCGAUCGCUGGUAUCGCGGCCGGACACCCGCACUCCCGGGGCGUCUCAACGGCCCGUCGCUGAUGCGGACGAUCGUCUUACGGGGCGGUCGUCAUUCGGCGAUGAACCG